GCUACCUGCCGCCCCAAUCACCAUCGCCAGUACUUACCUGAUGGACACUGCCAGUGGUCACCUGACCGUCUCAGCCAGUCCCUCAACAGUUCUCUCCUCUUACAACUGAAAGACGUCUUAGGGGGGGGAUAACAGGCACCUGUGCCACCAAGCUGCCCAAUAAGUUGAUGACAUCAUCUCAGAGAUCGUCAUGCAACAGAUACUACACCAGAAGUGCCAGAAUGAGGUUCUGCGGCGCCAGCUCAACCAGCUCAUUGAUGCCCGAUGUCAGAAGAGGCUUGAGAUGCAGCGCCAUUCUUAAUCAGCUUCAACAUUAGUCCCGGUCUCCGAUCUGACCCCAGCUGUGGAGACCCUCAUAGCUGUGCUACAGCUUUCUCCAGGGCCAGAGCUCACACUGGCGGAGCACCCUACCUCCGUGCUCCAUCCGACCCCAGCCGUGCAGAUCCAGCCUGUUCCAACAACAGAGAGCAGGUGGGCAGCCAUCUCCUGUCCUGAGAUCUUCGCCUGUUGCUACUGUGGGGAUUCAGCUCUGGUCCCAGAGCCCCCUCCAUUCGCUGAUGUGGUGGUCCAGCCGUCUACUGUCCUGAGAUCUCUGUCCAUUGCUGCUGUGGAGAUCCAGCCGACCACAACUCCUGUACAUGGGGCCUCUCCUGUUGUCGAUGGGGUGGCCUCGCCAUCUGGAGUCCAGAGACCCUCAUUGAGCUCUGCUGCUGCGGACCUGUGGUCUCUAGUCCUGAGAGCUUUGUCGAGAACCUGCGGACAAACCUCAACCAUCUACCGUGCUGAGACCAUCAUCGAGCUCUGCUGCUGUGGCCCAACCUCCUGAUCGGGUCCCUCUGCCUGGGUCCGGCCUGUCCGGUGGCCACCACCCAUUGCUGCUUCGUGGCUCUAGCAGCCCAAGUAUCCAGUCCCAGGGUUCUCUGCGAUCUCUGCUGCUGCAGCCCUGCGGUCUCCAGUCCUGAGACCCUCUUUGAGCUCUGCCGCUGUGGCCUUGCAGUCUCCAGUCCUGGUGUCCUCAGCUGACACCUUUCCAGGGGUCAAUAGGA
rnacentral:lncRNA from 8 species